rnacentral:lncRNA from 1 species
AUUGUUGUGGGUAGUGAGUGGGUUCAACGUUUAUCCAUUUAUUCCCAAAUCAAAACUCAGCCAUCGUCUCUACUCUCUGUCUCUCUCCACUCUCCAGUCUCGUCAGUCGUCUCCACUGCUUAAUGCUCAAUUGCUCAUCAUCGCCAUCGACUCUCUACCUCAUCAUUGUGGCCAUUAUGAUUAUUGACUCUCUCUAUCUCCAUCUUCUUUCUUGCUCUCCGACUCUCCAUUGUCUCUAAAUCAUCUCCAUCUUCUUCAAAAAGGGGAAUCACCGAAUCAAUCUCUGCUCUGUCAUCAUUGAUUUUUAUAUUGUAUUCUGUUAAUAUAUUUGUGUAAGUAGUUUUCUACUGAGUAAUUUCUUUUGUUAUAUUAAUUGGUUUUGCUUCACUUCAAAAAUUAUUUGCCCUAAUUUUUUAUUGAGAAAUCAGUUAAUAUGUAGAGAAUAUUUUGAUGUCUUAAGACUUGUUUACAUGAAGAUGAUGUGAAAUUUGAGUGUUUAUUGCUAUAAUUUUUGAGGAAUCUACCGUUGCGUAUAUUGUCUAUUGAUUUUUACUCUAAGAACUCAAUAUAUGUAAAAUUAUCAAUACUUUUAGAUUACGGUGAUAAUAUAUAGCUUUUUAAACAUGUUCUCUAGUAUAUUUUGAGUAAGGAAUUAACUUUGAUUACUUGCAGUACUAGGGUACUGUUGUAUCAUAUUAAUUUAAGAUAUAUACAUAGGGAAUAACUCAAUUUCCUAUACAGGUAUAUGUAAAGGAAAAACUAACUCCCUCAACAUGAAUAUUUUAGGGCAAAAAGAUUGGGUGGGCAUCUUGUGAUUUGUAGAGGAUGGUGACUUUCAAGCAAAAAAAAAAGGGGACUAUAUAAGCCACACCUUAACCUUUUAAUUUGGGCAUGAGGAGGCGAACGGAGGAGGCUUGAUUUGGAUUUGAUUUGGUUGUUUGGUAAGUUACUCACACACCCACUACGUAUUAUACUCACACACAUACACCCACCCACUGUUAUACUCACUCACACACACAUUAUCACACACAUACAUACACAAAAUAUACACACACUCAUUGUCAAUUAAUUGUGUCUGUGUGUGUUCGUAUGCACAUAUGGUGAGUCUUUUAGGUCUAAAUUCUUGAACAUAAAUCAGUUUGUCCUGUAUUGCUUUGAUAUUUUGUAUGUGUGUUUUAAUUAAUCUUUAAGGGUUUAUGAUUUUCAAUAUACAUCACAAAUUGUCUAAUGAGAGUUCCUUGUGAGAGUUCAAAACUUGAUUACCUUUAUUAGCUAUUGGCCUACCUUCUGAUAUAUUUUGUUUGAUGUUUUAAGCAUGUUCUAAAAAUGUCAAUUCAUUAAUAUUCAUGUUAUUGCCCAUACUUGACCAUCCAAUUUAGCCCGUCUAUUGCUCUGUGCACAUGCUGCAUUGCUGUUAUCAUUUGUCAAAUAUCAAAAUCUAUGGCUUUUACAAAUUGGAAAAUGUAGUUUGCAGAUGUUUGUGUCAAAUUUGUGGUCGUCAGUUAUAAAUAAUAAGAACUAGUGGUAACUCUUCUUGAAAAGAUAUGUAAGAGGUGAGUCACUCUUAUAAUUCUAUUAAAACUCAUAUGCUGCUAUAUUUCGCAAUUAUAAUUCAUUCAAAAUUAUCACAAUACAUAAUAGAAUUCAUUAAUCACUAACUAGUCCNNNNNNNNNNNNNNNNNNNNNNNNNNNNNNNNNNNNNNNNNNNNNNNNNNNNNNNNNNNNNNNNNNNNNNNNNNNNNNNNNNNNNNNNNNNNNNNNNNNNUAUAUAUAUAUAUAUAUAUAUAUAUAUAUAUAUAUAUAUAUAUAUAUAUAUAUAUAUAUAUAUUUUGCCAAUACUAUAUCAAGAUGUUUAACUUUGUGAAUAUGCAGACAUUAAAGCCAAAUUUUUUGCCUUAAUGGUAUCAAGAAAAUUUUAAACUAAUUGGUAUAGUUGCUCUGUUCUAGAAAAGUAGUCCAUUUUCAAAAUCAACGAAUUGAUUUACUGGUGUAUAUAUAUAUUUUAUACAUACUCCUAAAAAUAAUAAAAAUAAUAAAAUGUUAGGUUUAGCAAUGUGAUAUAAUAACGAAAUUAUAAUAAUUAAUUUAAGAAUAUUGUAUUAUUUUACACAAUUACUACUAAAAAGUGAACUCUUCUUAUCCGACAAAACAAAUUUAUAAAAUGAGACUACUUUUUGUAGAACGUAUGUAAUGCAGUAAUCAUUAAUUAGCAUUGAGGUAAUGUAUUUUUUCUAUGUGUUCAAAUUAAAUAAAAAAACAGCUAGCAGGAAUGGUAUUUGUAGAAGAAAAAUAUGGUGGUCUCUAAGAAUAUUCGCAAACCAAAACAUCUAGACAAAUAUUCUAUUUUUUAUUGGUCAUGGUGUCCACUCAACUUUGUGGAACCACCCCAACUUAUAAAUUAUCCAAUGAUUCAUUUUGAUGUAAAUUUCUACUUGACAUUUUCAAUCACGAGUUUUCUCUUGAUCAGGUUUGUCAUAGUCACUUGCUACACAUUUAGCUUACUUAUCAGUAUUCUUUAAGAUUAAAUUUUGCAAAAGAUGUUCUCUGUCACUGCAUUAUGGUUCAGUUUUCUGCAGCUCACAUCACUUGGGUCUCGUCUUUCUUUAUUUAUGAGUUGCUUGGAUGGGGGAUCUGUGCCUAUUUUAACAGGCGUCAACAUUAGUGUUUGAGUGUCUUUGGUGGUGAGUUUUGUAGGAAAUGAUCAUGUGCAAAAAAUAAUAUUAUUACAAAUAUUCUUUCAUUAAAUAACUUGAAGGAACUACUUACAUUUUGAAACAGUUUAACUGUAAUGGAACUUAUAACCGGACUUAAAUUAUCUGAUCUUGUAGCAUAUUUGGAAUACUUGAGUUGAUUCUGUAUUGGAAUCAGUUUUGCUAUGUUUGUUUUUUUAUUUAAUGUAGUGAUCAAGAACUCUUUAUGUAUGUUAUAUUAAGUUGUUUUUGUAGGCCUAAUGGGAUUAGAAAACUGUUUUCGAAUGAAUAACAUGUUAACGCUCGAUCUAAAAACUGUCUCAACAGAGCAGUUUGGUGGCUCUGUUGGACUGGUCUAAAAUGUCCAAAUUAGAUGAGUUGUAUUUUUUAAAUAUAUUAUUACAUACCUUCUCUAACAUGCUUAAGUUUUAUUGCAAUUGGACAUGUGGUUUGAAAACUAGAAAUUGGCGAAGUAGGCUGCUGGAAGUGAGCCGCAGCAUGGCAGGCUGCAGCAGCUGCGCACGCGCGCUGCCUCCCGCGCUGCGCUGCAGUAGCUGAGGCUAGCCUGGCAGUGUUGGUUGCAUGUUUGGGCUAUUUUGAUGCUCAUAAUGCUAAGCUCUUGUGAGGUGUUAAUGAAUCCAAUCUAGCCAAUGUAGAAAGGUUUAAUACCAUUGCCUUGGCUAGUUUUUCUUCUUCUUUUAUUAUAAUAAAUAUUUCCUAACUGCAAGAGGCUCUUAUUUAACGUAAAUAUGGCACUAAGCCCCUUGGUUUUCAUCAUACCUGAUCCGGAUAUGGGUUUGCAUGGUGAUGGUCAAAAUGUCAAGAUUUUGGAGAAGAUGAACAAUAGUCAUGUAUUUGUUGUUAAGAGUGGGUCUAAUCGUGGGUCCCCCAUGUUUACCACUCUUUCAAAAUUUUCAGCCUUCAAAUUUCAAUUUGCAUUCCAUGUUAAAUAACAUUGCUUCAUGCUCUUGCAAAUGAGGGUAUGUAUGUCAAAUCUGACUUUCCUGUACCGAGUUAAUUUACUACUAAUAUUAAGAAACCUUUAGUUUUAGGUAUGCAUAAGUUUUAGUGAGAGCACAGAAAGAACUAUGUAUGAACCAUUUUUUUAUAUUAAAGAAAUGUGUAAGUGAGCAUUUGGGUAUUUGAAUGACAGCUUUGGGUUUUAAAAGCAUUUGGGGUAUUUUACUUGUUGGGGUGUUGCAGAAAUUAGUUAUUACUAGUAUUCAUUAGUUAUUUUGCUUUUGCUUCUAAGUACUGCUGAAAAAGGUCUUUUCAUUUAUGUAGAGUGGGAAUUUGUUUUAGGUCUUUUCAUUUAUGUAUUACCUUCUAUGUCCCUUGAUUAGUAAGAAAAUAACACAACAUUGUUGUCUUUGUGUAUUGAUUUUGGCACUAAGUGCCUCUGGUGAUCUAUUUGCUUUAUUUUCUUGACUUGCUAUUAUUUUUAAAUGUGCAGGAAGACUGUUUCUACGACAUGCCUUACAAUACUGGGUAUCAAAUUUCCGUGCUACGUUUACGGAAGACAAGGGACGAAAUUAUGAAGUGUACUCUUUCUAUAUAUGUAGAUAUAUACUUUGAUUGAAGAAUUGUGGUAGCUUUAGAUGGUUAAUUGUAAAGAUAAUGAAUGAUUAUCUAGUGGAUGAUUUUAUUAAGUUAAUAAUAUUUUAAUUUUUUGUAUUUUUGUCAUUAUUUGCUA